AGUGAACGCUGGCGGUAGGCCUAACACAUGCAAGUCGAACGGCAGCACAGUAAGAGUUUGCUCUUACGGGUGGCGAGUGGCGGACGGGUGAGGAAUACAUCGGAACCUACUUUUUCGGGGGGGAUAACGUAGGGAAAGUUACGUUAAUACCGCAUACGCCCUACGGGUGAAAGCAGGGGAGCUUCGGACCUUGUGGGAUUGAAUGAGCGGAUGUCGGAUUAGCUAGUUGGCGGGGUAAAGGCCCACCAAGGCGACGAUGCGUAGCUGGUCUGAGAGGAUGAUCAGCCACACUGGAACUGAGACACGGUCCAGACUCCUACGGGAGGCAGCAGUGGGGAAUAUUGGACAAUGGGCGCAAGCCUGAUCCAGCCAUACCGCGUGGGUGAAGAAGGCCUUCGGGUUGUAAAGCCCUUUUGUUGGGAAAGAAAAGCAGCAGGUUAAUACCCCGCUGUUCUGACGGUACCCAAAGAAUAAGCACCGGCUAACUUCGUG
rnacentral:rRNA from 1 species